ensembl:lncRNA
CACUGGCCUUGGCCUCCUGAUAUCACAGUCCUGCCAGAGUUUUUCAAUAAAGCAUUAUCAUUCUCAGGAGGAUGACCUGUGAUGCUGCAGUCCAGAUCCUUGUAGAACAGAGGCUCACAUUGGUAACAGCUGGUAUUGAAGAUGCUUCCAGAAGAUGUUGGCAACUUGACCUGCAUGAACUCUCCUCUACACCUGAAUUCAUCCAGUACCGUCAGUUUGAUUUGUAUUAUGUUGUACCAUCUUCUGUUCUGGUUUCCAGUUUACGCUGAUGGUAAAAUCUCAGUUGUGUUCCUCACACAUCACUGACACCAGCACUCUAUAUUAAAAAUAUCUUUUAACUUUAAAACCAUACUGGUUAGAUGAUCACCACUGAUUUCAACUACAGUAAUAUCAAUAGGUUCAAAAAAUUAGCUUACAGCAACUUCCUCUUAAGACCCAAGCUUUGGUUGGCCUUGCAUUUUAGAUUUCUUCAAAUUAUUUGGGAAAAGGAGUAACCAAUAAAUAUAAUAAUUGGAUAAUAUCAAAUAUCUCAUUAUUAUGUUUAUUAUAUUUAUAUUGUUAUUGUUGUUAUUAUUAUUAAUAUUCUUAUUUUGUUAUUAUUAUUAUUAUUAUUAUUAUUAUUAUUAUUAUUAUUAUUAUUAGUAGUAGUAGUAGUAGUAGUAGUAGUAUUAACAAUACGCUCUUUAAAAAAAAAAGAUGUUUAGGAGGUUAAAAUUUCUUCAUUCAAAUAAUUCUUUGUAAUGAGCAAUUUAUUAGAUUUUAUUUGGGAUUUUUUUAGUAAUGCAAUCAAGGGUCUGUCGACAUCUUUGCCUCAAUCAAACAACAU